AAUUCACAUGAGACGUAUGACAUUAUUUUAAAAUCGUUGAGCUGGGUGUACACCUGUAAUCCCAGCACUCAGGAGGCUGAGGCAGGAGGAUUCAUUCCCGCAUCUUCAAGACCUGUCCCAAGUAAAUAAAUCAAUAAAGAACCACGGAAUCUGUUCUGCCUGGUUGAGCAGAAGGGGAUUUGGUGCAGGGUCCUUAUUCAUACAGAAUGUUCUGGAGAGCCAGGACUCUUGGAUGUCACAGAGUAAGGACCACCUUGCCAGGAGGACAGACAGACAGCCACACCCAGGACUGUCCCAGAACCACCUGUCUGCAUACCCCCACUUCCUGCGGUACAGUGCCCCUGGGGGCCUCCCAAGCCGUAAUCACCCGGAAGCCCAUCCCCUGGGGAGGAUCUGAGCUCCUGGGAAUCGGGGAGCAGUGCCUGAGAGGACCCAGAGACCGGAGAUGGCUGCAGGAUCUAACCAUGGGACUAGUGAAGGCAUCUAUCAUCUUUCGCAGUAAAGUGUUUUAUAUCUUGUUGCUUAUCUGUUUUCCCCAAAUUUUUACAAUAAACACAUCAUAUUUACAAAACAA